AGAACGUGUUGGAGUGCGAAUGAUUGUCUGCGUCAAUUGAUCUAAUUGGUCUUUAUUUAUACCAUGAUGGCCUGACGGCUAGGGUUUUGCUGACACGUCCCCCUCAACCCUAGUUGUUUCGAUAUUUGUGGGGUCGAUAUCCCUGAUCCGUCUUCUGCCUCCUUCGCCAAGUCGGUACCCUCUCUAGGGUUUGGGUCGAUGGGCCUUGAUGACCGAGAGUACAGGCUGAAUUAAUUGGAAUUAAUUCAGUGUUUUUAAAUUGGGCUAGAUGUUUGGGCCAUAAAUAUUUAUUCAAAUGGACUAUACAAAAUUUGUCCACUACAACUAUCUUAGACUAUCUAAACCCAUUAGAAAUAUUAAUAUGCCCAUCAGAAUUUCUGGCCCAAGUAUUUUGUAAGCCCAAUUAAAUAUUGUCAGAUUAAUACAUCUCUUUCUCCUUUCUAUUUUCCUCACGCGGACAUGCUCAAACGGUCAAACCCUCCUUUCCCCUCGGUCCCUCUCUCAGCCGUCUCUCUCCCGCUCUACCUCUCCGGCGAUUGUCGCCGGCUCUCGCCGCCUCCGGCGCGGCGAGGCUGAUGCAUCUGCUUCCCUUCCUCUUUCCUCCCUCUUCUUCCUACAUCCAAUUCCCCAAAUUCUAAAAUCAAAUCAACCUAGGGUUUUAUAAUCUCCCCCUUCAAUUUUACUCCUCCGGCGAAUAACGCCGCCGCCGCCGCCCAGCUCGUCGCGCCGCCGCCUUUUCCGUCUCAGGAAUCGUUGAUUCAACUCCGGCGAGGCAGUCCGUCUCUUGAUGGUGCAGCUCAAGUUUCUAUUUUUUUCUUAUUCUGUAAAUUUAUUCUCUUUUGUUGAUUUACCGAUAAAUCGAUAUUUGAUGGGGAAAAAGCAUAUUGUUUUGUAGAGCAUAUUUGUUGAUUGUUGCAACUAUGCUUGUUAUCUACUUGUGAAGGUUAUUAUUCUGUACAUAA